CAGGCAUGUCAUGUGCAUCCAAAACUACCAGAUUAUGAUGAUUUGACUGCCCGAUUUGCUGCUUUAAGAGGCCGAUAAUUUUAAUAUAGGUUAACCUUGGGGAAUGGUAACCAUUUUUUUUUAUCCUGGUGUGUGUUACCUCUUCACAUUCAUUUACACAGGUUGAUCUUGUGCUUAACUGUUUACUGACAUAGGUUAACCUUGGGGAGUGGUAACCUUUUUUGGUUACUCUGGUGUGUGUUACUACCUCCUCACAUUCAUUUACACAGGUUGAUGUCCUUAGCUUGUUUACUGACUGGAACCUGUUAACUCGUAACCUGUAUUACUUGACAACCUGUACCCAAAAUAUUCAUCUUGAUGUUCUCAUAGGCACAUGUUUCCAAAUACUACAGGUAGGAGGCAUAGAGCUGCAUCAUAUAACAUGUUUCAUAACGUAAAUGAUGUCCAGGCACAAUUACAGCUUUAGCAGUUCCUUGCUCUAAAUCCCAUUUGUGUACUAGUUGAUUGUAAAACUGUAUACCAUUCAUGAUUCAUAUGUAACCUUGAUCUUUGAGGCUAUGAGAUUCUUUGAGUUACUGUUCCUACGUAUUCGUGCUGCUUUCGUGGAUAUUAAGAUAAAGUUGUAUUUUGCGUUAAAGAUUGAAAAUACUAUUGAAG
rnacentral:lncRNA from 1 species